ACUUACCUGAAUAAUAUGGUCAAUCAUAUUUUAAUUAGAUCACUUAAUGAUUGGGCUUGACCUAUGCUAACUAGAAAAUCAAUAUGACUGAUUUAGGUGCCCCUAGUCUAACUUAUUUUGAGUCCUCUUCCAACUUGGUAAAGUCAGUGGGAGGAUUUAUGACUCACUGGGGGGACCAGAUUAAACCUAAUCUCUUUUAAUCUGACUUGGUGAAGUUAGUGAGAGGAUUAAGAAUAACUGAUCGAAUUUUUUUUCAUCUAUCAACUCAAUUAAUUAAAUCAUCUAAAAUUAUUA
rnacentral:lncRNA from 1 species